AUUUGUCGCCCAGGGAUGAGCCCGCGUAGGAUUAGCUAGUUGGUGGGGUAAUGGCCUACCAAGGCGACGAUCCUUAGCUGGUCUGAGAGGAUGAUCAGCCACACUGGGACUGAGACACGGCCCAGACUCCUACGGGAGGCAGCAGUGGGGAAUAUUGGACAAUGGGCGAAAGCCUGAUCCAGCAAUNCCGCGUGAGUGAUGAAGGCCUUAGGGUUGUAAAGCUCUUUUACCAGGGAUGAUAAUGACAGUACCUGGAGAAUAAGCUCCGGCUAACUCCGUGCCAGCAGCCGCGGUAAUACGGAGGGAGCUAGCGUUGUUCGGAAUUACUGGGCGUAAAGCGCGCGUAGGCGGUUACUCAAGUCAGAGGUGAAAGCCCGGGGCUCAACCCCGGAACUGCCUUUGAAACUAGGUGACUAGAAUCU
rnacentral:rRNA from 1 species